rnacentral:rRNA from 1 species
UAGCUUGCUACCUGACCUAGCGGCGGACGGGUGAGUAAUGCUUAGGAAUCUGCCUAUUAGUGGGGGACAACAUUCCGAAAGGAAUGCUAAUACCGCAUACGCCCUACGGGGGAAAGCAGGGGAUCUUCGGACCUUGCGCUAGUAGAUGAGCCUAAGUCAGAUUAGCUAGUUGGUGGGGUAAAGGCCUACCAAGGCGACGAUCUGUAGCGGGUCUGAGAGGAUGAUCCGCCACACUGGGACUGAGACACGGCCCAGACUCCUACGGGAGGCAGCAGUGGGGAAUAUUGGACAAUGGGCGAAAGCCUGAUCCAGCCAUGCCGCGUGUGUGAAGAAGGCCUUUUGGUUGUAAAGCACUUUAAGCGAGGAGGAGGCUACUUAGAUUAAUACUCUAGGAUAGUGGACGUUACUCGCAGAAUAAGCACCGGCUAACUCUGUGCCAGCAGCCGCGGUAAUACAGAGGGUGCGAGCGUUAAUCGGAUUUACUGGGCGUAAAGCGUGCGUAGGCGGCUUCUUAAGUCGGAUGUGAAAUCCCUGAGCUUAACUUAGGAAUUGCAUUCGAUACUGGGAAGCUAGAGUAUGGGAGAGGAUGGUAGAAUUCCAGGUGUAGCGGUGAAAUGCGUAGAGAUCUGGAGGAAUACCGAUGGCGAAGGCAGCCAUCUGGCCUAAUACUGACGCUGAGGUACGAAAGCAUGGGGAGCAAACAGGAUUAGAUACCCUGGUAGUCCAUGCCGUAAACGAUGUCUACUAGCCGUUGGGGCCUUUGAGGCUUUAGUGGCGCAGCUAACGCGAUAAGUAGACCGCCUGGGGAGUACGGUCGCAAGACUAAAACUCAAAUGAAUUGACGGGGGCCCGCACAAGCGGUGGAGCAUGUGGUUUAAUUCGAUGCAACGCGAAGAACCUUACCUGGUCUUGACAUAGUAAGAACUUUCCAGAGAUGGAUUGGUGCCUUCGGGAACUUACAUACAGGUGCUGCAUGGCUGUCGUCAGCUCGUGUCGUGAGAUGUUGGGUUAAGUCCCGCAACGAGCGCAACCCUUUUCCUUAUUUGCCAGCGGGUUAAGCCGGGAACUUUAAGGAUACUGCCAGUGACAAACUGGAGGAAGGCGGGGACGACGUCAAGUCAUCAUGGCCCUUACGACCAGGGCUACACACGUGCUACAAUGGUCGGUACAAAGGGUUGCUACCUAGCGAUAGGAUGCUAAUCUCAAAAAGCCGAUCGUAGUCCGGAUUGGAGUCUGCAACUCGAC